rnacentral:rRNA from 1 species
GACGAACGCUGGCGGCGUGCCUAAUACAUGCAAGUCGAACGCAGUGGGGACGGGUGAGUAACACGUGGGUAACCGCCCAUCAGAGGGGAUAACACUUGGAAACAGGUGCUAAACCGAUACUGAUGGAUGGACCCGCGGUGCAUUAGCUAGUUGGUGAGGUAACGGCUCACCAAGGCGACGAUGCAUGGCCGACCUGAGAGGGGGAUCGGCCACACUGGGACUGAGACACGGUCCAGACUCCUACGGGAGGCAGCAGGAGGGAAUCUUGGGCAAGGGACGAAAGUCUGACCGAGCAACGACGCGUGAGUGAAGAAGGUUUUCGGAUCGUAAAACUCUGUUGUUAGAGAAGCGGUAUCUAAACAGAAAGUCACGGCUAACUACGUGCCAGCAGCCGCGGUAAUUC